UACGUAGGGGGCAAGCGUUGUCCGGAUUUAUUGGGCGUAAAGAGCUCGUAGGCGGCUUGUUGCGUCGUUCGUGAAAUCCUGAGGCUCAACCUCGGGCUGUGCGAUGGAUACUGCCGGGCUAGAGGGAUGGUAGAGGCGAGUGGAAUUCCCGGGUGUAGCGGUGAAAUGCGCAGGAUAAUCGGGAGGAACACCAGUAGCGAAGGCGGCUCGCUGGGCC
rnacentral:rRNA from 1 species